UAGUGAAAUGACGGCGAUCACCUUUCAGGACUGACUCGAAAUGAAGAAAACACUCUGAGGGAUACUUAAUUA